rnacentral:siRNA from 1 species
UAAUGGAUUUUUCUCGUCCUU